UAGGGAAUCUUCGGCAAUGGACGAAAGUCUGACUGAGCAACGCCGCGUGAGUGAAGAAGGUUUUCGGAUCGUAAAACUCUGUUGUUAGAGAAGAACAAGGACGUUAGUAACUGAACGUCCCCUGACGGUAUCUAACCAGAAAGCCACGGCUAACUACGUGCCAGCAGCCGCGGUAAUACGUAGGUGGCACGCGUUGUCCGGAUUUAUUGGGCGUAAAGCGAGCGCAGGCGGUUUCUUAAGUCUGAUGUGAAAGCCCCCGGCUCAACCGGGGAGGGUCAUUGGAAACGGGGAGACUUGGGUGCAGAAGAGGAGAGUGGAAUUCCAUGUGUAGCGGUGAAAUGCGUGGAUAUAUGGAGGAACACCAGUGGCGAAGGCGGCUCUCUGGUCUGUAACUGACGCUGAGGCUCGAAAGCGUGGGGGGCAAACAGG
rnacentral:rRNA from 1 species